UGACUUACUUGUUGUUGUGUGCAGCAAGUUUGUUUGGUGUCUCUUCUUUUCUUUUUCAGAUGGAUCCCACUAUGGAGUCUCUGAUUGAGAGGGUCAGGUCUGCUGGGCAGGAGAGAGGGAAGUCUUGGCUGCAGGAAUGCCUGGGAGCUGCUGUUCCAGUACCAGGGCCUUCAGGAGGUCCGGAGCGCCAGCCCACGAGGCGGACUAUUCCGCCCCAACGCUUGAACCCCAGUUCCAUUCCUUGGCGCAGGAGGAGGAGAAGACAGUCUAGAGCAAAGGCAGCCGGGGUGGAGAGGUCCUGUUCCAAUGAUCGGAGGAGACCAGCUAGCACAGCUGCACAGCAUCUCAGUGCUCAGGGGGCUGGCGCGGCCACCAACGGUUCCGGGGUGACGCUGCCCUAGUAUGGCGGAUGGCAGGACUGGUGAUGCGGCACCCACAGCGGACUCCAGGGAGCAGAGGAGUGCUGCCAGGCCUGGACUUUCGGCGGAGGGAAGCACUUCAGUGCCCGGUGAGUCAGCCUCCAGUGCGUUGGGACGGCACAAACAGGGGGGCUCUGGGCUCUGGGAGGGUCCCACUUCUCUUAACUUGGGUUGCCCAGCAGUGGUAGGUAUCCUCCUCUUACCCGCUGGUCAGCAUGUUAGGAGGUCACCACAGGAGCAGCACGGCUUGGGAAGAGAAAGAGAAGUGAAAAGAAUCAGUUGGUGGGAGUCUGUGCGGUUCAGGUCGUAUGUUAGGCUGGACCGUUUGGUUUAAAAGGGGACGGUAGGUUCCUCUUUUUUGUAUUUGGUAAUAUGUACUUUUUUCUUUUUGUAAGUUGGGUCGCCUGGUUGGUGGGCCACUCACACAUCCGUUGGGCAUGCCAGAGAGCUGUAGUUCGGCAACAAGGAAGACAGCUGGGCUUUCCACGGCACCUGGUUCAAUUAUGUUGGUUUGGUUAUAUAGAUUUCAUUUGAAGGGAAGUUUGUGGUGAGAUUUUUAGGAGGUUGAGUUCGGGGCAAUCACCUGACUUGUUAUUGAUCCACGCAGGGGGAAAUGAUUUAGGGCAGGUGCCACAGAGGUAGCUGGUACAAAUUAUAAAGCGGGAUGUGGAAAGAUUGCGGUGUCUGGUACCGGGCUUUACUAUUAUUUGGUCAGAGGUGGUGCCUAGGUUACAUGCCAUGGAUCCGGGGGCAGUAGCCAGAAUGAGGGGUAAGGUUAAUAUACUGGUGGCAAUUUUUAAAAGGCGUACUGGAGUUGUGGUAGUUUGGCAUGUGGACUUGGAAUCGAUGAUUCCGGGUUAUUACAGGCGGGAUGGGGUGCACCUCUCCAACGCUGGUAACGAUUUCCUCAACAUGGGUUGGCUUACAGCAAGCAUUGUUUAUGCGUGGGUGGGUGGGGUGCUCAAAUAGCUUGAGGCUUCAAGCUCUGAGCCGUGGCGAGGAAUUUAGACAUAUUGGGGGUAGGUAGGAAUAGUAGCUGGAAGCUUGGAAGUUCUGUACCAAUAUUAACUUAGUUGGAUUUGGUAUUUGAUAGGUAAGAGCCUGUCGAUGGCUCUCAACCUGGUGGUGUAGGAGUGUCUCGGUAUUCCCCUACAAUGUUAAAACAGUUAUAUUACGUUGCCUGUUGUGGCUGUGUGUGUUGUAUUAUGCAUUUUAAUACUGUUAUUGAUUAUGGAUGUUCCAAAUCAUGACUUUCCCACCAGAAUAUACUGAGCUCUUGGCAAGAAUACAUUAUCUCAAUAACCACAAUGUGGCCCAUGAAGAUUCUAGGUAGCAAAAGGCAGACAGCUUAAUAGAACUAGCUGCACUCUUACAAUAAUUAUCAUUAAGACCUGAUUAAGGAUUUGAGAAAUCAUUGACCUGUUCCCAGCAACGUGCAUUUUUUUGGUUCCCACGGGAAUCGUCCACUGUGUAAUAAUCUAGCGCUCCUCAUUGUAUAAGAUACUUGACAUACAAAUGUUACAAUAAUGGAUGCAGAGCGAUUAUCAAAUGUUGUCUCAGACAGCACAAUCCCACUGACAAAAUUGCUGCAAUUUUAUUACAACUCACAGGUUUUACGUCAAAUCAUACAACAAUUUCUGAGGACAAAUUUCCAGCAAUUAAAACAAUGUAUUUGUCAAACAGUAAUAAUGUAUUUAAAUAGUGUUAAAAUGGAUCUGUCACCCUCAGACCACAGGGUUCCUUCAAAUAUUAAAAACUCAGUUAAUGUUCUGUGCAUCACCAAAAUGAAUCUUUUAUUUUUAUGUUGAAGCAAUGAUUUCUUUUCUACUCAUAGUCAAGUCUCCAAACACCAAUAUGGAUUUGUUUAAGACACUUCACCAUUACGUACAUUAUAUUUCACAUUUUUGUUUAACCCCUUAGUGACCAGACCAUUUUUACAUUUUCUUACCUCUAAGGACUAGGGCUGUUUUUACAUUUCGGCAGUGUUUGUGUUUAAAAAAUAAAUAAUAAUUGGGGAUUUUUUUGACACACAUAGCAAUUUAAGAAUACCUGUACUGAGUACUUUAAGGGUUACUGCCCAAUAUGAACACCCCAAUAUGAUUUCAGCAUCAUCUCCUGGGUACAGUGAUACCCCCCAUGUAUAGGUGUGUCGGGUUCUCUGGGAGCUAAAAGACCUUAUUUGGAGGGUGCGCAUUCCAGUUUUCCAACUUGGAAUUUUCACAGCUGGUCAUCAUGCACCCAUGUACUAUUUGGGACAUUGUUAAAGCCAGCCAAUAUAAUUUACCCCCAUCAAAUAAUUUUUUUUGUGAAAAGUAGACACCCUAGGGUAUUUCAAAUGGUAUUUUAACACUUUCCAUGCACUAAUUCUACCACCAGUCUUUGUCAAACUUUUGGGUAGUCAUUUGUUUGUGUUAUUUUUCUCUCACAUUGUACUUUAGGCAUGGAUUCUCAGUUCCUGUUAUGUGUUACUGACAAAGAACACCCCAUAAUUUGUUCAGCAACAUCUCCCGAGUACAAAAUUGCCCCCAAUGUACAGGUUUUAUGGGUUUUUGCAAACUUACAGGGAUCAAAUGUAGGGCUUUCCCCUUUUCCAUGUUUGCACAUUGAAAUUUGCCAGAUUGGUUUGCUGGGCCUAUGUUGCCUUUGAGACCGUAUAAGCCCAGGAUUAAAAAUGAACCCCAUCAUGGCAUACCAUUUGUAAAAGUAGACAUCCCAGAGUAUUCAGAAUGGGGUAUGUCCAGUCUUUUUUAGUAGCAACUUAGUCACUAACUCUGGCCAAAAUUAGCAUUUAUAUUUGUUUUUUUGCAUUUGUCACACACAGACUGCCAUUUCAGAAAUGAAAUUGUCAGUAUAAUACAUUUUACUGCUCUAAAACACUCGUAUUUGUGUAGAGUAAUGUCUCACGGGUACAACAGUACCCCUCAAGUACAGGUUUUAUGGUGAUUUGGAAAGUUACAGGGUCAAACAUAAGAUUUGCCAAUUUCAGUUUUUGUAAAUUGCUAUUUGCCAGAUUGGCUAUGUUGCCUUUGAGAAGGUAUGGCAGCCUAGAAAUGAAAAUGAACCCCAUCAUGACAAGUUAGCUUAAUAAAUAGAUUGGAUGGAGGUAUGUAUGGACGAAUGGAUAGAUAGACGGAGAUAGAGAGUAAAGACUUUAGCAAUUAAUUUUUCGGCCAACUGUUUAGUGAGUCGAAUUCUGAAGUUGAAAUUCUUUUAUUUCAAGUACAUGCUGUGUUGUAACUCUCCCUACUCUCCACAUAGCAUACACAACAUAUUGUGGCUUAAUAAGCAUUUUACCGAUCCUGUCCAUUUUUCCUUUGAGUCUGCAAUUAUCUGAGAAAUAAAAAAAACAUAUUUCUUAAACGAAAUCACAGCCACACACUGACCUCUUGUAGGAAAUGUUACUCGGGAUAAUUUCUCUGGUCUGAUGAAAACUAGCUGUUUGCCAGUAUGCAUCAUAAUUUCUCAUCAAUUUCUUGUUUUAAAUGUAGCAACGAAUUAUGAUUUAAUAUGGAGAACUCAAUUCAUAAAGGGAAUUCGGGAGCAAAGUCAAAUAAUUCACUCUCAAGCCAACAACGUUUAAACAAUUCCCAAGUGAGCAACUUCUGAGGAUUCUGGGAACAUUCUGUGUUUUGUUUUUUUAUAAAAGAUAUCUCUUAUAGUAUUGUGGAAGAUACAUGCACUGGAGGUGGUCCAUAUUCAACAUCAUUGCAUUUUGUUUGUGAAAUUACAAUUAAUCUGCAAGCUGCUUUUGAAAGUUAAUAUGGUAAAGUAAGCACCUUUGAUGCUCAAGGCAAAACAAAGAUGAUUAAAAUUUAAUUGUCAGGGGUAAUGUAAAAUGUCGACGCCCUAUUCACCCAAUAUUAAUAAUAAUGAUAAUUCAUCAAUAGUUCGCACAAAUGACUUGGAGAAGGUUUAAAAACAUUUACUCCAAAUGAGUUAAUGAUUCUGGGCUUUUAUUCCUUAUUCUGCAUAUAUAUACACACAGGGUGGGCCAAAAUUGAGAGUAGAGUUUGAGGAGUCAAUAACUUUUUUUUAUUAAUGAACCAAUUCCAGUGAUAUUACAUACUUACAUACAAUGAAUGCUUAAUGUGUGGAGAUUUGUUUGACUUGGUACGGAACAGGACAUCUUUUAAAUGAGCUCCAUUUGCUGCCUCGCAUAGUCCAUUGCAUUAUUCAUAACAUUAGUUAAUGUUUGAGGCUCUAGCGAUCGCAUUUCUGCACAGAUAUUCUCCUUGAGCUGCUUAAGUGUAUGCGGUUUGUUUACGUACACCACCUCCUUCAGAUGUCCCCAUAAGAAGUAAUCUGGACCUGAAAUGUAGGGCACAUGUGGUGGCCAAUUACUCUGAGCAGGCCCUGACUGGCCAUCUGGCAACCCCGGCAAAUUGCCCAAUGGGCUGCGAUGGCCAUGGACUGAGGCCAAAGGGCAGAUCAGAGCAUCUCCCUUGCUGGUCCAUGCCUGAAAUCAAAGAUCUCCCUCACCCCUCCGCUGGCACCUUACUAUGGCUGCCAAGAUAAGGGAGAGGAGACCUGGAGGAACUCUAACCUGCAGCCGGGUUCCUUUCGUGAGCUCAGAGAGUUGUUGCGGUUACCAUUGCAACACUCCGAUCACGCAAGAAUAAACUCUAGCCGGCGAAGCUGCUCGGCAAAAGUUUGUUUAUUUUUUUCUAAAGUUUUAAUUGUCACAUGGGAUCCCUAACAAUGUACACACGCAUUACCUAAUAAGAAUGAUGGUGAAUUGGUGAACAUUACUAAAGCUUCAAAUAAUUCUGUCCAUUGACACUUUUCCUACCCCCCUAAUAUCUUGGUUUACCACAUUUUUCUGCUUGUUAUGGUUAUUGAUUGAAUAUUUUUAGGUAAACUUUUAAAAUGUUUAAGUCAAUUUAAUAUUAAGUCUUUUGAAAAGUUUAUCCAAAAAUAUAAAAUCAAGGCCUAAGUUUGUUAUUUUUUAAUUACAUUACUAAAAGUCUACAGGAAAGGAGAAUUAGCUUUGACUUUGCCUUCUCGGUUCUCUCCGGUGUCAUUACAUGUUAAUAGGACUGAGACCUGAAUAACCUUACAUGGUAUAUUUGUGUUCUUUCAACUAAUACAUUUCAUUAGGGCUCUGCUGAAAAGCACACUCAAUUCUAUGCCUGAAAAAAAUUUAUGUUGUUAAUAAAUAAAUUAUAAAUAAAAUAUAGAAACGCUUUUGGUAACAUGAAGAGCUGAAUCUGUCCACGUGGGACAUGAUAGCAGAACAAAUUAUACUUACUUUAUUAGUCAAAAAGAUCAAUUAGUAAUGUUCUCUUCAUUAUUGGACCAAAUAAUUAAUCUAUUGGGGAAUGUGCAGAAGCAGUUCUCAACGUAGCGUUGAAUUUCUAAUAUAAAUACUGACAUAUCUCUAUCGUGGCUAUUAAUAUUGUGCAAAAUCAGCUAUGUUACAGUAGAUCUGCAGCUUCUGAUAUUAUUGUUCUAUUAAAUGUAUCUAAAUGAACUUGUAGGGUUAUUCAAUAAAGUGCAUGUGGUGGAGAACUCACAAAGGAGUUGCCCAAUUUAGGCAAAAAUAGACAUUUUACAUAGAAACACAGAUUGUGACGGCAGAGAAGAACCAUUCGGCUAGCUACAUUUUUUUUAUGUAGAAAGAAAGAGGAGGGGUGAAGGGCUGCGCUAGAUACAGGUAAAUAAAAUAUAAAUAAAUAUACAAGCUCUUAGUUGUAAGGCACUUAGCGGUAUAAUCCCCGCUAAUGGAUAUUCUGUGAUAGGUCACUCCGUCCAGCUUGGGUUUCGUAGGAUUUCGCACGGUAUAUAAAAACAAAUAUAGUGCUCUCAGUAGGAAGGGAAAGCAUAAAAUAAAAUAAAAUAAGUUAUACUCACAAUGGUAGAGCAGGGAGUACUGCUCUAUUUAUAAUGCGCUGGUGGAAUAAUCCCCACCUGUGGAUUGCUUUAAGCAGGAACAGUUAGAUGCCAGGAGAAAAAUAAAAAAUGUGUUUAUACAAUAAAACAAAAAUGGUCCUAUAAAUAAGGGUACCAAAUAAAAGUUUUUAUUGUUAAAAUACACAGUAAAAAACCAUUUGACGCGUUUCACCUCAUGGGCUUUAUCAAAAAUGGCUAAAGAACAAUAACCUGGCAUUAAACAGUUUUUAUAGCUCUAUGCAAAAGAUUGAAAUUGGCGCCUAAAACAGUGCACCAAUUACAAGCAAGGAGUAACAUAAACUUUUUUGUGAUUACAAACUGACACAAAAAUUGGUUUACAUAUAAACCGCUAAGUGCCUUACAACUAAGAGCUGGUCCUAAGCUCCAACAAAUGUGAGUGUAUUAUCCUCCAUUUUAUUUAAUUUCGCUAAUCCUCUCAGUACAUACUAUACCAUUGGAAGUUUGUUUAUGUUCUUAUCUUUCAUAUACAUAAAAAUAUAAAAAAAUAAGUCAAUGUAUCAAAAAUAUUACAAAAUAUAAAUAUGUUUCAUGAUAUCAUAUCAUUUCAAAUGUUUAUAAAAAUAUGAAAUCGUUUGAAAAGCUUAUUUAAGAAUAAUAAAUUAAGGCCUUGGUUAGGGGAUGGAGUGGUAUGUAAAUGAUUGGGAAAAAUGUGCAUAUGUCUGUGUGUAUACUAUGCUUAAUGACAGAAUAGGUACAAAAUACCGAUUAAGGAACAGCCACCCCCUCCUCCCUCCCUCCUCCCAAAAAUACAGUUUUUAAUUGUAAUGCUUUCCUGUGGUCACCUUCAAAGGAGCACCUAUACUGGAGGGAUGAGGAGCACAGCUCAAUAUGAAUCUAUUCUGGAUACAAAAUCUACACAGGAAAAAGGGGUAAUUGUGUGCACACCUUGAGCAUGCAUGUCUAAGUAGUGGUGCUGCUGUAAAAAACUAAAUAUAUACAAAAUACAGCGCUCAAAAAAAAAAAGUUUUAUAUUGUAUAUGGCUAUAUAAUAUCACCUAUCAUGGCCAAACAUAUGGGGAUUCAGUUAUUAUGUAUUACAACCACUAGAGGCUGUCUUAGUGCUGCAAUGUACAUUGCAGUUUCUCAAAAACUGCAAUUAUUUACAUUGCAGGACUAAGGGCAACAGUGACAUUGCACCCAGACCACUUCUAUGAGCUGAAGUGGUCUAGGUGCCAAAAGUGUCCCUUUUCCGUGUUACAUGUAUGGUAAAGUGUUGGGGUGAAAAAUUCUAUGUUAUAAAUCUGCUUCUUAUUCAACAAUGUUUAAGCAGGAAAUAUCAAAGAUUAUUUUUAAAAGUCACAGAUGUAGCUAUUAUGAUUACAGUUAGAGUGCCAACAUAUGCUGCAACGAUGGUUAAACAAGACAGAGAAUUCUAACAAAACACGUUUGACAUAUGGGAAGACAGCCUUGUCCAAAGGAGCUUACAAUCUAAAAGCUAAGUUAGUCUUUACAUCUUUUAUUAAAUAACUAACAGCGUUCUUUACUGAAAGGUGAAUGGUGGGGAAUUUAAGGUAAAUUUAAAAUUUCAGGCCAAAAUAGAAUUGAAAUAAGUCUCCCAGUAAGACAUUCUUUCAGUUUCCUCAUUUUAGCUUAACAUUUAGUUUGAAUUACUGACAAUACACACAUUAGUUAAUAACCCUGAUAUUGUGUGCGAGAGAUUGUUCUUUUUUUUUUCUAACAUUGUAGACAGAAAAAAUCCCGCCAUGGUCAGAACCAUUGAUUCCUGGCAAUUUGUUUUAUUAUAUGUAUUUACUGUUUUACUUUCCUCAAAUUAAGUCCAUUUGACCUUUGCUAAUAGCACUAUACAAUAUAAAUUACAUUUCCCAGCCGUGAAAAUUAUAAAACGUGUGAUAUAAGAUAUGAAUAGUUUUUCCCCAAAGUGUUUUUCGCUAAAAUCAAACCGAUCACUUGAAACGCAAUCACCCAGGAAUGUCAAAGAAAAGAACGUGCCUUAAUGGGUCCUGUAUGACAUUUAUUUUUAGUGAUUCAAUUUUCCAAUCUUUAGCCUCUUUAUUUAAACCAAAUAAGAUGUUUAAUAUAGAUUGCUGUCAAAGAUAACAUUCCCACACCAGGAAUAGUUUAAGUGGCCAGGAACGUACAUGCCAGAAAAUGAGUCACUGUGGGAGCGAUAGGAUCUUACGGUCAGUUCUAUAAACUUCCCGAGACUUUACACAACAACGUUAUAUAUUGCUGGACAAGACAAACCACAGGAAAUACAAACAAUCUGCCACUGUGGUGAUCUUGUCACUUCAGAUGAUUGUGAAAUACAUUUAGUAAGACUUUUAGUCUGCCUCUAUACUCUCUGAGCAUCAUGGGGAUUGUAGUUGUCAUACAUCCGAGAUGCCAGGUUUAACUGAAAUGUUGAGUUAGUAGACAUCAUUGUUGAGUUAAUGCCUUUGGUAAAAAUAGUGUGUGUAGAAGACUAGAUGCAGAAGAUGGACUACCCAGAGGAAGGACAAUGCUAUGCCAGGACCUGGAAUUAUUGCUUGAAUUAUUGGUUAAUCCCUUAUUGGUAUCAAAGGGUUCGUCCAGGACGGAUCAGUGGGAGAUGAAAGAACAAUUCGUGUUAACAAUGAAUGGAGGGAUGGAUAUCACUGACCUUGGAUGGUGGCAUUGACUGGAUCCAGUGUCGAGCUAACACUCCUUUCUCACUGUUUUAAUGUAUUAGCUAUAUAAUAUAUUAAAAAAUAGGCUGUAAAUUUUACCCCAUAGAUUCUCUUUAAGUAAUUAAAUAAUUUAACAUUGCAUGUAGUUGUAAAUAAAACCAAUCAUCUGCAUUUGCAGAUGAAAAUAUAAGAAUUCUGGGAAUGAUCCUAAUUAGGAAUGGGUGGGACUUUUUCCCCAAAAUUAGCUGAGUUGGCAAACAGUUCAAUAUAUAUUUUUGAUUCUGUUUAAAAACUUGCAUUUCCCUCGUUAGCGUUCCUCAAUUCACAGUCUAUUUAAUAAACCCCAUUGGCUCCACACGUUCUGCGCAUACAAGUGGAUUUGUUGACAGAAUCAUAUUCUGCUGUCAGAGUGAUUUCCUGUAAAUGCUGAAAUUCAUGAAAUAAAGAAAUCGCCAUCUGCUGCUUUGCAGUUCUGUUAAGAAAUGUUAUCUUACAUGAGCUGAGCUGUCACCUGACCUGGUCUUAUAUCACAUUUAACCUUUUCAUUGCCAAAAUCAUGUAUCACAAAUAUGGGCCAGCACUGCUCAGUACUUCUGGAGCUCUCUGCGCUGGGCCCAAUACCUCAAUCUCUCUCUGCACUGUGUGAAUAAUGCACCCGUGCUGCACUGAUCGGGGGCAUUAUAUGAAGUUUCCAAAUGGUGGAACACAGGGGCGUUGCUAGGUUCCAGAAGCUCGGGGGGCUUAAACCCAAAAGACGUCUCAAUGGCUCCUACACUGACAGACAGUAUCGAUGUCAUGACACAUCCCUGCUCUCCAGGUUAGCCCCCUACUGUCUACUCAUCCCAUGGACUGCGUGCUGCUGGUGUGCUCCAGGAUCUCAAAGAAAACGUAGCUUUGACAAAGUGCAUGCUGGACAGCCAGGUAAUCAAUGUGAUCCUGUGAUGCUAUAUGAUUAGUAGAUGCUCUGUCCUCAACACCUAGCAGAGCACUAUAGUAAUAAUGUUUCUUUUUAUAAUGGGUGACUGCAUUAAGAAGCAGCUGCCUGAUUUAAAAUGGAAAAAAGAAAGAAAAAUCUAUCAACCAACUACGGACAUCUGUGGCUUCAGCAAGGUCAGCAAAACCAUAAGGCGGCACAGGCGGCCACCUUAGGGAGCACUGGGGUGUGCAAGGUACAGGUGACCAGCAGGAGUUGAGUGGACAGCACAGCGCUCCCCUCCUGUCAGUUAAUUCAUGUAGCGUCGAUGUGGGGACCACAAUACAGAAUAUUCUGUAUCCUCUACCUGAUCUGGCAGGAAGUGCUCACCGAGAGCAACUAACAGCUUCCUGUCAGACCGGGUAGAGGCUAUAGAAGACCCUGUACUGCGGUCCCCACAUCCACACUACAUGGAGGGAAUUAAGGAGGUACACAUGAAGGGGAGUGGGGGAAAGAGUCAUCAAAGGGAGGGGGGAGUGAAAAAGACACACAGAGGGGCUGUGGGAAAGACACAAGGUACUGGGGGAAGAGACACACAUGAAUGGGGAAGGGGAAAGAGAGACAGACAAAGGCACUGGUGGAGAGAAAGAGACCCACAAAAGGAGCUUGGGAAAGGGAAAAAACAUGCAGAUGGGCUGGGCAAAGGGAAAAGAGACACACAAAAGGAGCUAGGGGUUAGAGACACAUGGAGAAGGGGGAAAGAGACAGACAGAGAGGCUGGUGAAGGGGAAAAAGAGAGACACAGAGAGGUUGGAGAAGGGGAGGGAGACAAGGGGCCUGGGGAGAGUAAGAGACACACAAGUUGGUUGUAAGUUGCAGAGAGACACACAGGUGAAGAUGCAUUUUUUUGGGGGGAAGGUGGGGAGGGUGCGUCUGAAUGCAUCUUCGCCUGUGUAGCCAAUAAUCAUUGCACCGGCCCUGGGCUUCAGCCUCCAAUGCCACCAACUAAUAAUGCCUUUGUUGGAACACAAGCUAUCAAAUCAUAUCUACCUCUGUCUCUGAAUGAAGCUUACUCUCUCUGUCUAUGUCUGUCUGACUGAUCUAUCUAUUUAUCUAUUUAUCAAACUAUCUGUUUAUCUAUCUAUCUAUCUAUCUAUCUAUCUAUCUGUUUAUCUAACUAUCUAUUUAUCUAUCUAUCCAGAUCUAUUAACUAGAACAUAAAAAACAUUUAUCUUUAGGUAUCUCACUACCUCUCCCUAAUCCAUGAACAUACGUAUACAGAGAAGUAAAAGCCACAUGUGGAGGGUAUACAAACUGGUCAGCAUGGCCCCUUCCUGUAAAUUCUGCCUCUGCAAUUUUAGCAAUGGCUGACUGCAUGGCCCUAUAGAGAGGUCACACAGUUAGCCCUUUUCACUAGCAGGCCUUGCCUUCAGCGGAAAAUAAUUACAAUCUAAUGUGAAUUUAUCAAAAAGUCUGCAGCAGAGAAGUCAUUUAUUGUUUUAUUUUCCAUAAUGCUGCAUUGACAGAACAACACAUUCCUACCGCCUAGAGGUAUGUGUCGGCUCCGUAAAAGGCUUUUUGUGAUUUUAUAUGCAGGAGAGAGAAUAAAAAUAAUCAAAUCUAGAAAUUAUUUUAUUAAGGACCCAGUAGCAUCUUACAUGUGUAACACGUUAAAUCCACUGCCUGAGCCCUAUAACUGUCAUCUACAAACUCUGCCGACAACUCUAAUGUAACACCUUCAGGUUCCAGAAUUGUUACAAUUUUUUAUCAAAUCAACUUAUUUAAUAACUAGAUUGUGUAAUUGUCCACACAAAAACAUGGAUUCCAAUGUUGACAUUAAAGGGGCACUAUACAGGGAGUGCAGAAUUAUUAGGCAAGUUGUAUUUUUGAGGAUUAAUUUUAUUAUUGAACAACAACCAUGUUCUCAAUGAACCCAAAAAACUCAUUAAUAUCAAAGCUGAAUAUUUUUGGAAGUAGUUUUUAGUUUGUUUUUAGUUUUAGCUAUGUUAGGGGGAUAUCUGUGUGUGCAGGUGACUAUUACUGUGCAUAAUUAUUAGGCAACUUAACAAAAAACAAAUAUAUACCCAUUUCAAUUAUUUAUUAUUACCAGUGAAACCAAUAUAACAUCUCAACAUUCACAAAUAUACAUUUCUGACAUUCAAAAACAAAACAAAAACAAAUCAGUGACCAAUAUAGCCACCUUUCUUUGCAAGGACACUCAAAAGCCUGCCAUCCAUGGAUUCUGUCAGUGUUUUGAUCUGUUCACCAUCAACAUUGCGUGCAGCAGCAACCACAGCCUCCCAGACACUGUUCAGAGAGGUGUACUGUUUUCCCUCCUUGUAAAUCUCACAUUUGAUGAUGGACCACAGGUUCUCAAUGGGGUUCAGAUCAGGUGAACAAGGAGGCCAUGUCAUUAGAUUUUCUUCUUUUAUACCCUUUCUUGCCAGCCACGCUGUGGAGUACUUGGACGCGUGUGAUGGAGCAUUGUCCUGCAUGAAAAUCAUGUUUUUCUUGAAGGAUGCAGACUUCUUCCUGUACCACUGCUUGAAGAAGGUGUCUUCCAGGAACUGGCAGUAGGACUGGGAGUUGAGCUUGACUCCAUCCUCAACCCGAAAAGGCCCCACAAGCUCAUCUUUGAUGAUACCAGCCCAAACCAGUACUCCACCUCCACCUUGCUGGCGUCUGAGUCGGACUGGAGCUCUCUGCCCUUUACCAAUCCAGCCACGGGCCCAUCCAUCUGGCCCAUCAAGACUCACUCUCAUUUCAUCAGUCCAUAAAACCUUAGAAAAAUCAGUCUUGAGAUAUUUCUUGGCCCAGUCUUGACGUUUCAGCUUGUGUGUCUUGUUCAGUGGUGGUCGUCUUUCAGCCUUUCUUACCUUGGCCAUGUCUCUGAGUAUUGCACACCUUGUGCUUUUGGGCACUCCAGUGAUGUUGCAGCUCUGAAAUAUGGCCAAACUGGUGGCAAGUGGCAUCGUGGCAGCUGCACGCUUGACUUUUCUCAGUUCAUGGGCAGUUAUUUUGCGCCUUGGUUUUUCCACACGCUUCUUGCGACCCUGUUGACUAUUUUGAAUGAAACGCUUGAUUGUUCGAUGAUCACGCUUCAGAAGCUUUGCAAUUUUAAGAGUGCUGCAUCCCUCUGCAAGAUAUCUCACUAUUUUUGACUUUUCUGAGCCUGUCAAGUCCUUCUUUUGACCCAUUUUGCCAAAGGAAAGGAAGUUGCCUAAUAAUUAUGCACACCUGAUAUAGGGUGUUGAUGUCAUUAGACCACACCCCUUCUCAUUACAGAGAUGCACAUCACCUAAUAUGCUUAAUUGGUAGUAGGCUUUUGAGCCUAUACAGCUUGGAGUAAGACAACAUGCAUAAAGAGGAUGAUGUGGUCAAAAUACUCAUUUGCCUAAUAAUUCUGCACUCCCUGUAGUUCCUUCCUCAGUGAAGUGGCCUGGAUGUAGUGGCACUGUCCUUUUAACCCUGCAAUGUGAAACACUGCAUUCAUUUUAGAAAUACAAUGCUUUUUUGAAUACAAUACUUUACUAUGGAGAAGCAUAAAUGCAUGUUCUGCUUUCUGCGCAUGAGCGUCAAGUCCCCAAUGCUCCCCUGUGACCUCAUGGAGGAGGCCAUGCCCCCUCAAUUAUGUCAUAGGAGGUAGAGAGGUGAGAAGUUCUGAGGAAGUCUCGGCACUGGAAAAAGGUCAAUAUUUUCAAGGCAAACCACGGGGUAAAGAGCAUUAAAGUUAAAAGGGGUAGUUAGUUAACGAGGCCCCAAGCACCAUUCAUUGCCCAGAAGCUUCAUUCUGAGGGAUAUACGACACUGAUGGUCAUGGCAAUAUGGAAGCAUAGCUGACUUGGAGAAUGACCUCAACUCGGCUAUUUUGGACAUACAUUUGAAAUUCACGUUGAAUUCAUGACAAUUCUAACUUCAGGGAAUAUCCUUGAUAGUAUCACUAUGGGGAAGGAGGUUAUUUUAACAGUACACAGAUACAUUGACCAGGUAUUCAGAAGCUCCAAUUAUUCACAGUGCUCUGUCUGUCGCAAAAUGGAAGGGACGCAGCCCGCCUUAUAGUCUGGGUAAUUUGCCUCUGCCUAAUACAUUGUACUAGCUGGUAAAUGUGUCGAUAUACAGUUAGGGGGGGGGGAGUAUUUGAUCCCCUGCUGAUACUGAAUGUUUGUCCACUGACAAAUAAAUGAUCAGUCUAUAAUUUUAAUGGUAGGUGUGUUUUAACAGUGAGAGACAGACUAAUACAAGUAAAUCCAGAAAAAUGCAUGUCAAAAAGUUCUAAAUUGAUUUGCAUGUCAAUGAGUGAAAUAAGUAUUUGACCCCUUCAACUCAGCACUUAGUGGCAAAACCCUUGUUGGCAAUCACAAAGGUCAGAUGUUUCUCGUUGUUGGCCACCAUGUGGGUUCUAGUGUGUCUUUGGAUACAGGGGGCCCCUGGAAGGUGGAAGCUGUAUUCUUUAUGAUGGAACAUUGGAGGAUGAGAACUGUACUGGGAAUUGGAGCAGGUUUUUAUUGGUAACGGGGAACCCUACUGGAUGGGGAAAAGCACUGGCAUGAGAGUCUAUCCCUGAAGGAGUGUGCAAAUUAUAUUCUGCAUGAGGAAACUGUAUUGUGUGUAGAUGUGAACUGUGCUUUAACUGUAAUAUUAGAAUUUAUAUUGUGCUCUUUAUGUGCUACAUAUUUAUAUGGAUGAUCCUAAAAUCUAAACGUGUUCCUGAACUUAUCUCUUAGAAAAUCUGCAAUGAAACUGUAAAUAAAUAUAAAAGAUAUAAAAAGUAGAUUGAAAUGGGAACCAUAUCAUACAAUCAAUACCUUUACUUAUAAUUAAAAAUUGGGAGGAAAGAAGAAAACAUAGCAUAAUAUAAAGUAACCUAAUAUCUGUACAAGGAAAUAUUAAAGACCAUUUAUUCUUUUAUGACUCUAUUGUUCCCGUUAAGCUGUUCCUGGUAGAACUGCAGAUUUUUUUAUGUUCUUAAUAAUACAACAGAAUCCUGUCCACUGAUCUGAGAAAUUGCUUUUCAUUUUAUUCCGAGGCUGAAACAAUGAUUCAUGGGGGGGGGGGGGUUAUUUUUCUGGAAACCAUCAAAAAAACUAAUAUCGUCUUUAUCCUUUGCUUAUAUUGAAGCUGGCUGCUCAGUUGGCUUGCAUGGCACACAGAAAAUAUUGUUAUUUUAGCACGCAUUCAAUGACUAUUAACACUGGCAGGCGAGUCUCUUAAAGGGACACUAUAGGCACCAGAACAAAUACAGCUCAUUGUAGUUGUUCUGGUGAGUAUAAUCAGGCUACUUUGGGCUUUUUGCAGAGAACACUAUCCUUUCAGAGAAAAUGCCGUGUUUAUAUUACAGCCUAGGGACACCUCCAUUGGCCACCCCUCAGAUGGCUCUGCAUGGAGACUCUAAACUCUAUGAAGAGAUGCUGAUUGGCCCUGCCUCCUUUGCGAUCUCAGCCAAUCCCAUGAUUUCCCUAUGGGAGAUCAUCAAUUCUGAUGAUGUCAGCUAAAGAGGUGGAUCAGGAGCAGGGCAAAUGCCAGGGGAUCCCUGCGGCUCAGGAAUAAAUGUAAGUUUUAACCUUUUCUGGGGGGGGAGCAGGACAACCUAAAUAGUGGGGUUUAACACUAAAGGGUCAGGAAUACAUGUUUGUGUUCCAGACCCUAUAGUGUUCUUUUUUUAAAGUUUGAGUUUGUGCCUCCCAACAUUUGGACACACACACUAGCCAGUCAGGGCUUCCUAUUCUCAGUUCACUAUAGAAGCACUCACCCAAACGUAGACUUGGAGAUAUGAUUAUUUACAAACGGCAAUCUGUCCAAAUUUGGGCCAGUCAGGUAAUUGUUCAAAUUCCCAAACUUUGAACUGAAAUGUGGCUGAAUCACGAACAAAACCAAACACACAAUGGACGAGCGUGUUCAUUUUGAUGUGUGAUUCUGAAAUCCACCCAAUUUUUUUAUUAUGUAUAUAUUUGUUGCAGUUCCCUGAAUGGCCCAUUUUUGCAUCUUCUGUUCCGUCUGAUUUGUUUCCUGAAUCUUUCUUUGUUUACGAAAUUGCAAGAGUCACAGCAGGAUUUAUACUAAAAAAGCGUGCUGGGCAGGGCCGGACUGGGAAAAAAAUUUGGCCUGGGCAUUUUUCAAUCAGAGCGGCCCCCUAAGAAGGGGGCGGGGCCAGAGAGUGUGUGUUUUGUCAUCACUAAUGACAAGCACGCCCCCUCUCAAAGUGAGCAUGUUGGUUCAAUGCCCAGAGCCCUGCUGAAGAGCUCUGGCAUUAGAAAAAGGCCCUGAAUUUGUUCUGCGCAGCGCAAGCAAAUUUAAUAACAUGCUUGCGCUGUGUUUGCUUUUAAAUUGUCUCUGGUGUCUCCACAAGUGGGAUACCAGAGGACAAAAGGGCCAGGAAAGUGCAUGGUGCAUAUGUUUGGAGCCUGCUUGUGGGAUUGCGUGUGUGUAGAGUGUGGUGUGUAUUGUGUAAAUAGGUCAAUUUCAUUUGUGUUUGUGGUGUAAUAUGUGUGGCUAGGGGCUGUAGAGAGUGUGUGUAUAGGGGGCAUAGUUUUAUAGGGGAUGCAGCGAGUGUGUGCAUACAGGCUGAAGUGUGUGUGUAUAGGUGACGUAGUGUGUGUAGGGGUUGUAGAGAGGGUGUGUUUAGAGAAUGUUGUAUGUGUUUGCUGACAAGGAAUGUAGUGUGUGUGUGUUUGAGAUCUACUGUGUAAAGGACCCAGUGUGUGUGUGUGUGUGUGUGUAGAGGAUUAGGAGAGGAAGAGUGCAUAUAGGGUAAGGGAUCUAGUGUGUAUCUGGAGUAUAAUGUGUGUAGUGGUGCAGUGUGAGGAGUGCUGUAGUGUGUGUGUAUAUAUAUAUACACACAUUUGGACUUAUUGUAUGUGUGAGGGGCGCAGUGUGUGUAUGUAAGAGGGGUGCUGUGUGUGAGGAUGUUUUUAUUUGCUGUCAAAUUCUAGGUUUCUAAUUUUCUUUGUCUGUUAACUCACUGAGGGUUAUUUUAUAUAUGUGUGUGUGUGUGCUGUAUAUGUGUGGGAGUGUGUUGUGUGUGUGAGUGAGGGUGAUGUGUGUUUGGGGGUGCUGUGUCUGGGUGCUGUGUGUGUGAGUGAACAUAUUUUUUAUUUAAAUUUAAAUAUAUAUUAUUUAGUAAUAAAAAAAAAGUAUAUCCCCCCCCUCCCUUCUUACCUUUAUCCUGGGGGGAGGGGAAGGAGAUCCAUUCUGCCUGGGGGGUGGAUGCCAUGCUGCCUUCCCUGGUGGUCCAGUGGUGAGAGUGAACUCUAACCUGCAGGUUAGAGUUCACUCUCGCGAGAUCUGAGCUUUGCCGUGGUAACCGCGGCAACGCUCAGAAUCCCGCGAGAGGACCCGGCGGAGCUGUUGGUUAGAGCUCCACCGGUCCUCUCCUCCCUCCUCCCUCCUCCCUCCUUCCCUCUCUCCCCAGCUGGCGGCCACCUGUAACAGUGCCUCUGGGCUGGUGAGGGAGCUCUUUGUUCCUGUGAUCUCCCCUGCCGGCCUUGGCCCACGGCCAUCGCGGCCCACCGGGCAUUUGCUCGGUAUGCCCGAUGGCCAGUCCGGGCCUGGUGCUGGGCUAUGCCCAGAGUCAGGGCAGGAUUUAUAUUUACCCACUAGCUGGAGCUAUGCUCAGAGUCAGUGCAGGAUUUAUAUUGACAAGCUAGCUGGAGCUAUGCUCAGAGUUGGGGCAGGAUUUAUAUUGACAAGCUAGCUGGAGCUUAGGCCAGAGUCAGGGCAGGAUUUAUAUUGACACACUAGAUGGAACUAAAUCCAGAGUCAGUGCAGGAUUUAUAUUGACACACUAGCUGGAGCUAUGUCUUGAGUAAGGGCAGGAUUUAUAUUGACAAGCCAGCUGGAGCUACGGCCAGAGUCUGGGCAGGAUUUAUAUUGACUCACUAGCUGGAGCUAUGCUCAGAGUCAGGGCAGGAUUUAUAUUGACACACUAGCUGGAGCUAUGUCUUGAGUCAGGGCAGGAUUUAUAUUGACAAGCCAGCUGGAGCUAUGGCCAGAGUCUGGGCAGGAUUUAUAUUGACUCACUAGCUAGAGCUAUAGCCAGAGUCAAGGCAGGAUUUAUAUUGACAAGCUAGAUGGAGCUAAUUUCAGAGUCAGGGCAUGAUUUAUAUUGACAAGCUAGCUGGAGCUAUGUCCUAAGUCACGGCAGCAUUUACAUUGACAAGCCAGUUGGAGCUAUGCCCAGAGUCAGGGCAGGAUUUAUAUUGAUAAGCUAGAUGGAGCUAUGUCCUAAGUCAGGGCAGGAUUUACAUUGAAAUGAUAGGUGGAGCUUAUUCCAGAGUCAGGGCAGGAUUUAUAUUGACAAACUAGCUGGAGCUAUGGCCAGAGUCAGGGUAGGAUUUAUAUUGACAAGCUAGAUGGAGCUAAUUUCAGAGUCAGGGCAGGAUUUAUAUUGACAAGCUAGCUGGAGCUAUGUCCUAAGUCACGGCAGGAUUUAUAUUGACAAGCUAGCUGGAGCUAUGCCCAGAGUCUGGGCAGGAUUUAUAUUGACAAGCUAGCUGGAGCUAAUUUCAGAGUCAGGGCAGGAUUUACAUUGACAAGCUAGAUGGAGCUAUGUCCAGAGUCAGGGCAGGAUUUAUAUUGACAAGCUAGUUGGAGCUAUGGCCAGAGUCAGGGCAGGAUUUAUAUUGACAAGCUAGAUGGAGCUAUGGCCAGAGUCAGGGCAGGAUUUAUAUUGACUCACUAGCUGGAGCUAUGUCCUAAGUCAGUGCAGGAUUUAUAUUGACAAGCCAGUUGGAGCUAUGGCCAGAGUCAGGGCAGGAUUUAUAUUGAAACGACAGAUGGAGCUAAUUCCAGAAUCAGGGCAGGAUUUAUAUUGACAAGCCAGCUGGAGCUAUGCUCAGAGUCAGGGCAGGAUUUAUAUUGUAACGAUAGAUGGAGCUAAUUCCAAAAUCAGGGCAGGAUUUAUAUUGAAACGAUAGAUGGAGCUAAUUCCAGAGUCAGGGCAGGAUGAGAGAGAUAACUGGAGGUAAAACCGAAGUCUGAGUGGGAUAUAUAAGAGUAAACCAGCUGGAACUAUGACAAAGGUAAGGACUCAAUUUAUAUGGAUGAUCUAGCUGGAGAUAUAGACAAAGCUAGGGUAAGAUUCGUAUCAGAAAGUGACUUCCAGGAUAUUUAAUUUAAAUUCAUAUUAAUGGAAAAGCUGAACAUAUUUCAGAGGAAGAAAUAUGCUUUUCAUAAGGUAACAAAGUUAGAUAUUUCAGAGAGAAUAUUUUUGUUUUUAAUCAUGUUAUACUAUUUUCUAUAAGCAAGAAACACCACAUUCCAUGGAAACCAAUUGAGGAUAUCUGGAAGGCAAACACACUUGUCCUUUGAUGUUUCUUUACUUUGGAAGAAGCAAAAAAUGCAAAUGAGAAUUUAACUCCGCAGACGUACAGUGAAGAAGAUCCAAUUAUUCUAAUAAAUAUCAUGUUCUAAUUCAGCCAAGUGAAUAUUAUUUGCACAGCUCUCAUAGCUUUGGCAUUUAUAUUUACUUUAAUCUUUUUUUCUGGUUUUUAUUUUUGGAUUCUAAAGUCAUGCAGAUAAGAGGGCACUUGGAUUGUGAACUGUAACUAACAGGACAAUUCCCAUAAGAAAAAUAAAAAAAUAAAAAUAAAAUUGACAUCACUGACUCUGACACUGGACGUGGCUGAGAGUGAUGGGAUUUUUUGUCCUUAAGCCUUUUGUGCACAUAUUUUCAUAAUCACUUUCUUAUCACCUUCUCUUCAUUCUUUUCCAGAUGGCUGAGGUUGCUUCGUUAGGGGAUCCAAUUAUAGAUUGACUAGUGGAAACACAGCUUUACGUAGUGUAUUGGGUUACAAUAUUACCACCAGCUGCAGAACUGGAAGAUGGAGAAUCUAAGGUCCAGGCAUAUAUCGAAAUAAUAUUGUACAGCGCUAUGGAAUGUGGUGGAAUUUUAUGACUAUUUGUAAUACAUGUUCACAUGGUUUACACCUUGCUACAAGACAUGUAUGUUUCAGAUACGUUGAAUUCAAUAAAGAAUAUACCUUAAUGAUCAUUUUAGAGAAACUCUGCGACGCAUAAACAUGUUACAAAAACACAACUACAUAGAAAGGCAACAGCAAGGUAUCUUCUUAAGAACUGAAUAACACUGACAUAUAAUUCAAGCAAUUGGAAGACCCAGCAACCUACCUUCUAACCACCAGUGGAGCCUGUGAAGCAUUGGAAAGAUUUGUCAAAGAUUCUCUGAUACUAGAGAUUGGAUUCCAUCAAAUUUUUAGCAAAUAUUUGGCACAAUUUCAUAAAAGAACUCUUUACCUGCUUUUAAAAUAAUAAUAAUAAUAGGGUAUAUCUAAAACAGCUUGCAAAAGCUGCAGAUCUCUUGUCUGUGGCUUUUGCAAGCUCCUCCUCUUCUAACCCCACCCAGACAUUCUGUGGCUGUCCAAUCACAGACUUCCCAAAGCAACUCAAUGAGAAGUCUUUGCAAGGCUGGUGUCUGGGCAAUUGCUGCCUCUUGAGUUUAGCUCCACUGAGCUGAACAGUGGUGAUUCAGUGGUGCAAGAAUUUGUGGGGGACUCAUUAAAGAGUGGCCAAAAGGUAGAUGUUGUACAGAUCUCGCAACGCAUUGCCAGCUGGGACUCUACCAUUUGUUCAUCCUUUCAGGGUUGUAUUUAGCACUGAGCAGUGUUUGUGUGUUUGACCUUCAGGUUAUUUAAUUAAAAUUCAUUUAACCCCAAUGAACUUCUUUUUUUUUGGGUUGUAGUCAAUAAUAAGGUUUUUGAGAGGAAGCCUCAGACAGUGGGCGCAUUUAUUGACACUGCUUAAGUGUUUGGAGUGUCCCUUUAAAGGAACAGCGUAGACACCAUAACAACAUCAUCUAAAUGAAAGAGCCAGGGCAUCUACUGGCACCAUAACAGCUUCAUUUAGAUUGAGUUGUUAUGGUGACUGUAGUGCUCUUUUAAUGAAUAGCCUCAAAAGACUAAUAAGUGGGUUGAGGUUUUGUCUAUAACAAAUUAUUGCUAAAUUCACAAUAAGUCCCUUGGGAAAAGCAGAGUCAUGAAGUAGCCUCAUUGGCUCACUAAUACCAAAAUCUUAUGAAGGUAUGAAAACGUAAACACUCCUCAUUCACUGCUGGCUAAAUUUGAAAUGGAUUUAGAGUUAGAAUCACCUCGGCCAGUUUUAUUCUGUUUUAUGGAUUUAAAAGCCCUAAAGGCUCUUUUAGCCGUGUAUUCCAUAAAGGACAUAAUUAUACUCAUCAGCAUUUGUGAGGAAUAGGUGACGUUACGGAAAAUGAGAUGUAAAUGAUAUGUUGAAUAUUUGUAACAUCCUAUGCAAUGAGUUCUGACGAGGUUAAUACUUUGUGCAGCUGUAGAUUGAAGGAUCUCGUACAAGGUCAAACAACGACCUUUAAUUUGCAUAAAAUUAUUUUAGUGAUAAUGCAAUCUCGCAUUAAAAUAAUGGCUUCCAGCUCCGUGUAUGUAAUGUCAUUACUGAGAAGAGACACAAUGGCAUUCUAGUGAGAAAUACUCUGUCGGAAUUUGGGGUAUUAAUAUUUUGUGUCGGAGUUGGGGGAGGGGCCGUACAUUUCACAAAGCUUUCUGUUUUUCGAAGAGACUAUAGGCUAUUCUGGCUCAAGCAAUCUACCUAAAUCUAGACAAAAUUAUUUGAAUAAGUCAGCACUUAUUUUUUUACUUACAUAGUAAACAGAGAUAUUCAAGAAAGCUGUCAACUUCUCUUGAUAUUGCACC